rnacentral:rRNA from 1 species
GUCCACGCCCUAAACGUUGAUUACUCGCUGUUGGCGAUACACUGUCAGCGGCUAAGCGAAAGCGUUAAGUAAUCCACCUGGGAAGUACGUCCGCAAGGAUGAAACUCAAAGGAAUUGACGGGGGCCCGCACAAGCGGAGGAGCAUGUGGUUUAAUUCGAUGAUACGCGAGGAACCUUACCUGGGCUUAAAUGUCAUUUGACCGGUGCCGAAAGGUGCCUUCCCUUCGGGGCAAGUGGCAAGGUGCUGCAUGGCUGUCGU